UACAGAGGUCUCAAGCGUUGUUUCGGAUUCAUUGGGCGUAAAGGGUGCGUAGGCGGCGCGGUAAGUCGGGUGUGAAAUUUCGGAGCUUAACUCCGAAACUGCAUUCGAUACUGCGGUGCUUGAGGACUGGAGAGGAGACUGGAAUUCAUGGUGUAGCAGUGAAAUGCGUAGAGAUCAUGAGGAAGACCAGUGGCGAAAGCGGGUCUCUGGACAGUUCCUGACACUGAGGCACGAAGGCCAGGGGAGCAAACGGG
rnacentral:rRNA from 1 species